rnacentral:rRNA from 1 species
UGGGGAAUAUUGCACAAUGGGGGGAACCCUGAUGCAGCGACGCCGCGUGAGUGAUGAAGUAUUUCGGUAUGUAAAGCUCUAUCAGCAGGGAAGAAAAUGACGGUACCUGACUAAGAAGCCCCGGCUAACUACGUGCCAGCAGCCGCGGUAAUACGUAGGGGGCAAGCGUUAUCCGGAAUUACUGGGUGUAAAGGGUGCGUAGGUGGUAUGGCAAGUCAGAAGUGAAAACCCAGGGCUUAACUCUGGGACUGCUUUUGAAACUGUCAGACUAGAGUGCAGGAGAGGUAAGCGGAAUUCCUAGUGUAGCGGUGAAAUGCGUAGAUAUUAGGAGGAACACCAGUGGCGAAGGCGGCUUACUGGACGAUAACUGACGCUGAGGCUCGAAAGUGUGGGUAGCAAACAGGAUUAGAUACCCUGGUAGUCCACACCGUAAACGAUGAUUACUAGGUGUUGGGAGAUUGACCCUCUCAGUGCCGCAGUUAACACAAUAAGUAAUCCACCUGGGGAGUACGACCGCAAGGUUGAAACUCAAAGGAAUUGACGGGGGCCCGCACAAGCAGUGGAGUAUGUGGUUUAAUUCGACGCAACGCGAAGAACCUUACCAAGUCUUGACAUCCCUUGACGAUGCUGGAAACAGUAUUUCUCUUCGGAGCAAGGAGACAGGUGGUGCAUGGUUGUCGUCAGCUCGUGUCGUGAGAUGUUGGGUUAAGUCCCGCAACGAGCGCAACCCUUAUCUUUAGUAGCCAGCGGUUUAGCCGGGCACUCUAGAGAGACUGCCAGGGAUAACCUGGAGGAAGGCGGGGAUGACGUCAAAUCAUCAUGCCCCUUAUGACUUGGGCUACACACGUGCUACAAUGGCGUAAACAAAGGGAAGCAAAGCUGUGAAGCCGAGCAAAUCUCAAAAAUAACGUCUCAGUUCGGACUGUAGUCUGCAACCCGACUACACGAAGCUGGAAUCGCUAGUAAUCGCAGAUCAGAAUGCUGCGGUGAAUACGUUCCC